rnacentral:rRNA from 1 species
AGGACGAACGCUGGCGGCGUGCUUAACACAUGCAAGUCAAGGGGGCCCGCAAGGGCAACCGGCGAACGGGUGCGUAACACGUGAGCAACCUGCCUCAGUGUGGGGAUAGCCGGCCCAACGGCCGGGUAAUACCGCAUACGCUCACUGGGUGGCAUCACCUGGUGAAGAAACUUCCGAGGC